AUUGAACGCUGGCGGCAGGCCUAACACAUGCAAGUCGAACGAGUGGCGGACGGGUGAGUAAUGUCUGGGAAACUGCCCGAUGGAGGGGGAUAACUACUGGAAACGGUAGCUAAUACCGCCUACCAUCGGAUGUGCCCAGAUGGGAUUAGCUAGUAGGUGGGGUAACGGCUCACCUGGGCGACGAUCCCUAGCUGGUCUGAGAGGAUGACUAGCCACACGGGAACUGUGGCACGGUCCAGACUCCUACGGGAGGCAGCAGUGGGGAAUAUUGGACAAAGGGCGCAAGCCGGGUGCGGCCAUGCCGCGUGUAUGAUGGAGGCCUUCGGGUUGUAAAGUACUUUCAGCGAGGAGGCGUUGCUCGCAGAAGAAGCACCGGCUAAAUCCGUGCCAGCAGCCGCGGUAAUUC
rnacentral:rRNA from 1 species